UACGGGGGGGGCAAGCGUUGUUCGGAAUUACUGGGCGUAAAGGGCGCGUAGGCGGCCUUCUAAGUCGGACGUGAAAUCCCUCGGCUCAACCGAGGAACUGCGUCCGAUACUGAAAGGCUUGAAUCCGGGAGAGGGAUGUGGAAUUCCAGGUGUAGCGGUGAAAUGCGCAGAUAUCAGGAAGAACACCUAUGGCGAAGGCAGCUCUCUGGGACGGUACUGACGCUGAGACGCGAAAGCGUGGGGAGCGAACAGG
rnacentral:rRNA from 1 species